UUUUUAUUUUUUGCUUUUUAGGGCCACACUUGCAGCAUAUAAAUGUUCCUGGAGAAGGGUUGAAUCAGAGCUACAGCUGCCGGCCUAUGCCACAGCCAUGGCAACAGACAAUCCAAACCACAUCUGCAACUUACACCACGGCUCACAGCAAAGACGGAUUCCUGACCCACUGAGCAAGGCCAGGGAUCUAACCCGCAACCUCAUGGACACUAGUCGGGUUUGUUUCCCCUGUGCCACAAUGGGAACUCCUGGAUUCUGAGUUUCUUAAAGAUUGUAGCAGCUGGCACACUCUCUCACACAUAAUAAACACUGUUAAUGUUCACUAAAAUGUAAUUGAGCUGAACCGCUAAUUAGAGAAAAUAUAAGAAGUUAAAUUAUUUGGUAUAUAUAUGGUUGACACAUAUUUGAAGUUUCUUAUUACACACUGGAUAUUUCUGAGUAUCCAGAGUUAGACAAAGCUUCAGAAUUUUGCCUACUUAAAAGAAAAAUCCUUCUGGACAUCCAAAAUCUGGAUAUCGCAUUAUAUUGUAUAACUGCUGCACAUAAGUUGAAGAAACUCAUUUGUCUUCAAAAUGCAGAAAGUGUUGAAAUAUCAGGACUAUUAUCUUGAUGAGUCGGCCUGAAGAAUUUCCUGGAACUUUGCAUUCUUGUUUCUGAUAACACACAACAGAAAUUUGGACUGAAAUCUAGACUCUUCAUCUCCUACUCAUAGCAAAUGUCCUCAAAAGACUGUGACUGUGUUUCUGGCAGUCAGAUAUUCUUAAUAACUGUUCACCUUUCCCCUUUGGCCUUCCAUGUGUCUGUGUUGUCUCUGGAGAGAAUUUAAGUCAGAAUCCGUGACUAAUGUUCAUAGUAUGUCAGCCAGACUAUUCCUCCAGUUAGCCAUCAACUCUCUGUCAUAACAUUGCUCUUGGUCACGUUAUUCGACUGCAUGAAAGAGCCCUACUUCGUGAUUGAAAUUCUGCUCUAAUAAGCCCUGCACUGUCAGGGGACUAGUUCUAGAAAGGGGUCUUUCUCAUGUAGACAUCCAUUUAUUCUGCAGGUAAUAAAGGAAGAAAGAAAGGGUGGCUUUCAGGAAUUUAGGUCUGGGGUCCUACACUGUAAAUGCAGUUUGGGUCUAGACAUCACAAAGAUCUCUUCUGUGUUCAACAGGGAUUCUCAGGCCUUUCAUUUCAGCCAACCUGGGAGUCACCUGAACCAAAAGUCACAACCAGAGGCAGGUAUCAGAGCAGGCAUGUUGUUUUCCUCUAAACGGCUGUGGGAGAGUUUUUGUUUUUUGGUUUUUUGUUUUUUUGGUUUUUUUUUGUUGUUGUUGUUGUUUUUGCCUUUUCUAGGGCUGCUCCUGUGGCAUAUGGAGGUUCCCAGCCCUUAAAAAAAAAAAAAAAGCAAAAGCAUUUUCAUAU
rnacentral:lncRNA from 1 species